GUUUGGUUAAGUUAGAAAGGGCGCACGGUGGAUGCCUUGACACUAGGAGUCGAUGAAGGACGGGACUAACGCCGAUAUGCUUCGGGGAGCUGUAAGUAAGCUUUGAUCCGAAGAUUUCCGAAUGGGGAAACCCACYAUACGUAAUGGUAUGGUAUCCUUAUCUGAAUACAUAGGGUAAGGAAGACAGACCCAGGRAACUGAAACAUCUAAGUACCUGGAGGAAGAGAAAGCAAAUGCGAUUUCCUGAGUAGCGGCGAGCGAAACGGAACAUAGCCCAAACCAAGAGGCUUGCCUCUUGGGGUUGUAGGACAUUCUAUACGGAGUUACAAAGGAACGAGGUAGACGAAGCGACCUGGAAAGGUCCGUCGUAGAGGGUAACAACCCCGUAGUCGAAACUUCGUUCUCUCUUGAAUGUAUCCUGAGUACGGCGG
rnacentral:rRNA from 1 species